CCUACGGGAGGCAGCAGUGAGGAAUAUUGGUCAAUGGCCGGAAGGCUGAACCAGCCAUGCCGCGUGAAGGUCAGUGCCCUAUGGGCGUUAAACUUCUUUUGUGCGGGAGCAAUAAUGGUCACGUGUGGCCAGACGAGAGUACCGUACGAAUAAGCAUCGGCUAACUCCGUGCCAGCAGCCGCGGUAAUACGGGGGAUGCAAGCGUUAUCCGGAUUUAUUGGGUUUAAAGGGUGCGUAGGCUGUGAGGUAAGUCAGCGGUGAAAUGCCCCCGCUCAACGGGGUGAAGUGCCAUUGAUACUGCCUGGCUGGAAUGCGGAGGCCGUGGGAGGAAUGUGUGGUGUAGCGGUGAAAUGCAUAGAUAUCACACAGAACACCGAUUGCGAAGGCAUCUCACGAAUCCGCGAUUGACGCUGAUGCACGAAAGCGUGGGUAUCAAACAGGAUUAGAUACCCCAGUAGUC
rnacentral:rRNA from 1 species